rnacentral:sRNA from 1 species
UUGUGGCUGGACCACCGGCGGCUAAAUGAGCACCUAGAGGUUCGAGCCGAGCACGCAUUGCGUGCGAGACAACAUCGCCGUCAGGCGAUGACCCGAAGGGCGAACUACAACGCAGUGAGUCAUCCUGUCGGGUGCGUCAG